CAUGUUGAGUUUCCCAGCUUCUGGGAAAUUCGGGAUAAGUUGGGCCACUGUGAUCUUCCAACCCAGGUUGGGUCGGAGCCAUUAGCAAGCAGAGAGAUGUCUGAAUGGGCCAUGGUAGCCUUGUGCCUUGGCCAGCUGGCACCCAGGAGGGUUUGGAAUGCAAAGCUGGCACUGAGCAGGCCACAGAGAUGGGACUGCUGUCCCUAUUCCUGCACCCAGCCUCCCCUUUCCAUUCCCUUGGCAGAGCAGCACAAAGCCUUUGGUCCCCACACUGCCACCCAGCCCCUUUCACUGUGGCCAAACACACUUUAAAUGAAUCUGAGAGAAAGGUUUGAGACGAGGCCGGGUGGACGCGGGGUGCCCCAAUGGGCACAUCCCAGUUGGGCAGGGAGUGGGGCCACAGCGCUGUGCUCUGACCCUACCGAGGUAACUACAUAAUGAGCCUCUUGGAAUCCCUCCAUCCCUGCCAAAGGGGUGGGAUCGGGGGACGCUUUUGUUUGCCAUAAUGAACCUGUAAUUAUGCUGCUUUUCUUGGUUUUAACCGCAUUUUUUUGCGUGUGCGUCGUUCUCUUUGUAUUGACAGAUUUAUGGCUGGGAUACCCCGGCCGGGCGGCACACGGGGCCAACACACUGCCUGCUCAGAGAGCUGCGGGGCAGCGAUGGGGGCUUCUCAUUGCCCCGGCUCCCAAAGGGUUAAAGAAAGACAUGGGAAUUAAUGCACACGCAGAGGUGCCACCUCUCCAAAAUCCACUGCUUUGGGCACAGUUAAAUAUAUAUGUAUGUGUGUGUGUGUGUAUAUAUAUAUGUAUGUAUGCGUGUAUAUAUAUAUAUAUAUAUAUAUAUAUGUAUAUAUAUUUAGGUCCAGGUGAAUUAAAGAAGAGGAGAGAAAGGAAGGAAAGGAAAAAGUAGGGAACGAUUAAACGGCAUAAAUAAAUAAAUAACACCCACCAGAUUUCAGCUCCCAGGCGCUCAAUAAAAUUACACUUUGAAAUGCAAGGAUUAAGCAGGCAUUGCUGGGGUUUGAGCUGGCUGUGGGUGGAAGGACCGAGCCUGGAAGGAAACCCCGUGUGAAAUCCCCAGCCUGCUUUGCAGAUGUUGGGCUGCUUCUGGGUGAGAUUUUAGCUUUUGCAGAUGUCUGAAACGCUCCCGGUGGGCUUGGUGCCUCGCUGCAGUAAACACAGGCAGGGGGAGCUGGAAGAAGUGGGGAGAGCCGUGAUGUCUUCCAGGAGCUGUCUCAGGAGAGGGACUGGACCAGCCUGAAGGCCGCCAGAGCCAAAGCCCAGCAGCACAGCUUGGGACACAAGCAUCCCACACGGGGGACUAUUUUGAUGGAGCCGGAGAAGUGAUGACACAAAUAGCUGAUGACACAAAUAGUUCUGCUGGCGGAGCAGCAGAGGUGGCAACCUCUGGAUGGGAGCCAUGAGCAGCAGCUGCAGACAGGCACCUCUUCAUGGAGCUGGAACAGGAUGCAUAGCCCAGGGCUCCUGUCACCAUCCCACCAGUAUCACCAGGAAAGCUGUGACCCGGAUGAGCCGUUCAGUCUCCUUCCUGCACAAUAGUUCUGCCUUCUGCCAGCUCUUGCCCUGAAAAGCUGCAGGUUCAUCUGCUCAGCCCGACUCAAACAUGCACCAUCAACAGCUGGGCACCCCUACACUCCUGCAGUGUUAGGUCAGGCCCCACACUCCUGAGGUUCCAGGAGCUAGAAUACCUUUGCUGAGCUCCUGGGUGGAAAAAAAAAAAGGAGGAUUUACCUGAGUCCAGCCCGUCUGCAUGUGGGUCGGAACGUGUGUGUAUCCCAUUAACUCUGUCCUCGCUGCUCUCAAGAUGUCCCGCACAAAUGAUUUUAUUUUUUUUUUCGUAAGAAAAUAUAUUUUACUAGGCAGUUUUAUGAGAGCUGACAAAAUGCCUCAUAAAUAACCCAGCAGGAAAUAUGGGGUAAAUAAAAUUUUUACAACUUUA
ensembl:lncRNA